rnacentral:misc_RNA from 1 species
CAAGAAGCGCCGAAAGGCUGCUUUACAACCAUAGCGAACCUAUCCUUCAGCGUUGCUUCGGCGGGUAGCUCGCCCCCCUCGGGGGCCGGGGCGCGGCUGGCCUCGGCCGCCGCCCGCCGGACGGUACGAAACUCUUUAUAAUGCUAGAAUCUCUGAGUAUACAAGCAAAUAAGUCAAAACUUUCAACAACGGAUCUCUUGGUUCUGGCAUCGAUGAAGAACGCAGCGAAAUGCGAUAAGUAAUGUGAAUUGCAGAAUUCAGUGAAUCAUCGAAUCUUUGAACGCACAUUGCGCCCGCCAGUACUCUGGCGGGCAUGCCUGUUCGAGCGUCAUUUCAACCCUCAAGCCCUGCUUGGUGUUGGGGCCCUGCGGCUGCCGCAGGCCCUGAAAUGAAGUGGCGGGCUCGCUGCAACCCUCCGAGCGUAGUAGUUUCUAUUCUCGCUAGGGAGGCGCGGCGCGCUCCGGCCGUUAAAGAACCCAUUCUUUAGCGCAAGGUUGACCUCGGAUCAGGUAGGAAUACCCGCUGAACUUAAGCAUAUCAAUAAGCGGAGGAAUCGUACGCUUGGUCAUUUAGAGGAAGUAAAAGUCGUAACAAGGUUUCCGUAGAUGAACCUGCGGAAGGAUCAUUCAUAAUAAGUGUUUUAUGGCACUUUUUAAAUCCAUAUCCACCUUGUGUGCAAUGUCAGUCGAUCUUCUUCAUGGAGAUUGACCAAACAUCAACCUUUAUUUUUUAACUCUUUGUCUGAAAAAUAUUAUGAAUAAACAAUUCAAAAUA